rnacentral:misc_RNA from 1 species
UUGAUAACACAAGCUGAUGCCGCCGGACGCGGCCCAUGCUGCUCGGUGCGCGUUGGGGAGGCCGUCGUGUCAAAAGCGAUGGUUUCUAAUCCCUUCUGUGGCCCAUGGUCACGUUAAUCGGCGCGAGGGCUGAUGCCCCGCCCCGUGCUUCAGAUGUUCGAGUCGGGUCUGAAGCGCGCGUCCCUACCGAACAGAUUAAAUACAUGGGACUUCACUCAUCGCGGUCGCAAGACCUGCGAGGCCACGGCCAUAUCAUCAAUAUAACUAUCACAAACAUACAGUUAAUUA